CAGCCGCCACGGGAAUACGUAGGGGGCAAGCGUUAUCCGGAAUUACUGGGUGUAAAGGGAGCGUAGACGGUUAAACAAGUCUGAAGUGAAAUGCCGGGGCUCAACCCCGGAGCUGCUUUGGGAACUGUAGAACUGGAGUGUCGGAGGGGUAAGCGGAAUUCCCAGUGUAGCGGUGAAAUGCGUAGAUAUUGGGAGGAACACCGGCGGCGAAGGCGGCUUACUGGACGACAACUGACGUUGAGGCUCGAAGGCGUGGGUAGCAAACAGGAUUAGAUACCCCCGUAGUCCCUGUCUCUUAUAC
rnacentral:rRNA from 1 species